rnacentral:lncRNA from 1 species
AAAUCUUUCAAAUCAAGCCUAGCUUUAACUGUGUCUUUUGUCUUGCCCUUUAUAUUGAGAAUUGUCCCAAUUAGAUUCUCACAUAUGUUUUUCUCUAUGUGCAUCACAUCAAGAUUAUGUCUCACCUUCAACUUUUUCCAAUAUGGUAACUUCCAAAAACUAACCAUCCGGCUCCAAAUUUCCACAUGACCCCCUUCACAGUUGG